rnacentral:rRNA from 1 species
UACGUAGGGUGCAAGCGUUGUCCGGAAUUAUUGGGCGUAAAGAGCUCGUAGGCGGUCUGUCGCGUCGGCUGUGAAAACCCGGGGCUCAACCCCGAGCCUGCAGUCGAUACGGGCAGACUAGAGUGCGGUAGGGGAGACUGGAAUUCCUGGUGUAGCGGUGAAAUGCGCAGAUAUCAGGAGGAACACCGGUGGCGAAGGCGGGUCUCUGGGCCGUAACUGACGCUGAGGCGCGAAAGCGUGGGGAGCGAACCGG